CCUACGGGAGGCAGCAGUGAGGAAUAUUGGUCAAUGGACGCAAGUCUGAACCAGCCAUGCCGCGUGCAGGAAGACGGCUCUAUGAGUUGUAAACUGCUUUUGUACGAGGGUAAACGCAGAUACGCGUAUCUGUCUGAAAGUAUCGUACGAAUAAGGAUCGGCUCACUCCGUGCCAGCCGCCGCGGUAAUACGGAGGAUUCAAGCGUUGUCCGGAUUUAUUGGGUUUAAAGGGUGCGUAGGCGGUCGGAUAAGUUAGAGGUGAAAUCCCGAGGCUCAACUUCGGAAUUGCCUCUGAUACUGUUCGGCUAGAGAGUAGUUGCGGUAGGCGGAAUGUAUGGUGUAGCGGUGAAAUGCUUAGAGAUCAUACAGAACACCGAUUGCGAAGGCAGCUUACCAAGCUAAUUCUGACGUUGAGGCACGAAAGCGUGGGGAGCAAACAGGAUUAGAUACCCGAGUAGUC
rnacentral:rRNA from 1 species